rnacentral:rRNA from 1 species
CACCAGGCGCGAAAACUUUACAAUGCUGGCAACAGCGAUAAGGGGACCUCGAGUGCCAGGAUACAAUCUUGGCUGUCGCGAUGCCUAAAAAGCAUUGCAUAGCAAGGGCCGGGCAAGACCGGUGCCAGCCGCCGCGGUAACACCGGCGGCUCGAGUGGUAACCGCUAUUAUUGGGUCUAAAGGGUCUGUAGCCGGCCGGAUAAGUCUUUUGGGAAAUCCAGCUGCUCAACAGUUGGGCUUUCAGAAGAUACUGUUCGGCUCGAGACCGGGAGAGGUGAGAGGUACUUCAGGGGUAGGGGUGAAAUCUUGUAAUCCUUGAAGGACCACCAGUGGCGAAGGCGUCUCACCAGAACGGAUCUGACGGCAAGGGACGAAAGCUAGGGGCACGAACCGGAUUAGAUACCCGGGUAGUCCUAGCCGUAAACGAUACUCGCUAGGUGUCAGCCACGGUGCGACCGUGGUUGGUGCUGUAGGGAAGCCGUGAAGCGAGCCACCUGCGAAGUACGGCCGCAAGGAUGAACAGAAAGGAACGGCGGGG